UAUCUAGGUAGUUGUAUUGGAGGGUAUCUAGGUAGUUGUAUUGGAGGGUAUCUAGGUAGUUGUAUUGGGGGGUAUCUAGGUAGUUGUAUUGGAGGGUAUCUAGGUAGUUGUAUUGGAGGGUAUCUAGGUAGUUGUAUUGGAGGGUAUCUAGGUAGUUGUAUUGGAGGGUAUCUAGGUAGUUGUAUUGGAGGGUAUCUAGGUAGUUGUAUUGGAGGGUAUCUAGGUAGUUGUAUUGGGGGUAUCUAGGUAGUUGUAUUGGGGGUAUCUAGGUAGUUGUAUUGGAGGGUAUCUAGGUAGUUGUAUUGGAGGGUAUCUAGGUAGUUGUAUUGGGGGGUAUCUAGGUAGUUGUAUUGGAGGGUAUCUAGGUAGUUGUAUUGGAGGGUAUCUAGGUAGUUGUAUUGGAGGGUAUCUAGGUAGUUGUAUUGGAGGGUAUCUAGGUAGUUGUAUUGGGGGGUAUCUAGGUAGUUGUAUUGGAGGGUAUCUAGGUAGUUGUAUUGGGGGUAUCUAGGUAAAGAAAGAGGUAGUUGUAUUGGAGGGUAUCUAGGUAGUUGUAUUGGAGGGUAUCUAGGUAGUUGUAUUGGGGGUAUCUAGGUAGUUGUAUUGGGGGUAUCUAGGUAGUUGUAUUGGGGGUAUCUAGGUAGUUGUAUUGGAGGGUAUCUAGGUAGUUGUAUUGGGGGUAUCUAGGUAGUUGUAUUGGGGGGUAUCUAGGUAGUUGUAUUGGAGGGUAUCUAGGUAGUUGUAUUGGAGGGUAUCUAGGUAGUUGUAUUGGGGGUAUCUAGGUAGUUGUAUUGAGGGUAUCUAGGUAGUUGUAUUGGAGGGUAUCUAGGUAGUUGUAUUGGAGGGUAUCUAGGUAGUUGUAUUGGAGGGUAUCUAGGUAGUUGUAUUGGAGGGUAUCUAGGUAGUUGUAUUGAGGGUAUCUAGGUAGUUGUAUUGGGGGUAUCUAGGUAGUUGUAUUGGAGGGUAUCUAGGUAGUUGUAUUGGAGGGUAUCUAGGUAGUUGUAUUGGAGGGUAUCUAGGUAGUUGUAUUGGAGGGUAUCUAGGUAGUUGUAUUGGGGGGUAUCUAGGUAGUUGUAUUGGGGGUAUCUAGGUAGUUGUAUUGAGGGUAUCUAGGUAGUUGUAUUGGAGGGUAUCUAGGUAGUUGUAUUGGGGGUAUCUAGGUAGUUGUAUUGAGGGUAUCUAGGUAGUUGUAUUGAGGGUAUCUAGGUAGUUGUAUUGGAGGGUAUCUAGGUAGUUGUAUUGAGGGUAUCUAGGUAGUUGUAUUGGCGGGUAUCUAGGUAGUUGUAUUGGAGGGUAUCUAGGUAGUUGUAUUGGAGGAUAUCUAGGUAGUUGUAUUGGAGGGUAUCUAGGUAGUUGUAUUGGAGGGUAUCUAGGUAGUUGUAUUGGGGGGUAUCUAGUUAGUUGUAUUGAGGGUAUCUAGGUAGUUGUAUUGGAGGGUAUCUAGGUAGUUGUAUUGGAGGGUAUCUAGGUAGUUGUAUUGGAGGGUAUCUAGGUAGUUGUAUUGGGGGGUAUCUAGGUAGUUGUAUUGGAGGGUAUCUAGGUAGUUGUAUUGGGGGGUAUCUAGUUAGUUGUAUUGGAGGGUAUCUAGGUAGUUGUAUUGGAGGGUAUCUAGGUAGUUGUAUUGGGGGUAUCUAGGUAGUUGUAUUGGGGGUAUCUAGGUAGUUGUAUUGGAGGGUAUCUAGGUAGUUGUAUUGGAGGGUAUCUAGGUAGUUGUAUUGGAGGGUAUCUAGGUAGUUGUAUUGGAGGGUAUCUAGGUAGUUGUAUUGGAGGGUAUCUAGGUAGUUGUAUUGGGGGGUAUCUAGGUAGUUGUAUUGGAGGGUAUCUAGGUAGUUGUAUUGGAGGGUAUCUAGGUAGUUGUAUUGGGGGUAUCUAGGUAGUUGUAUUGGAGGGUAUCUAGGUAGUUGUAUUGGAGGGUAUCUAGGUAGUUGUAUUGGGGGGUAUCUAGGUAGUUGUAUUGGAGGGUAUCUAGGUAGUUGUAUUGGGGGGUAUCUAGGUAGUUGUAUUGAGGGUAUCUAGGUAGUUGUAUUGGAGGGUAUCUAGGUAGUUGUAUUGGAGGGUAUCUAGGUAGUUGUAUUGGAGGGUAUCUAGGUAGUUGUAUUGGAGGGUAUCUAGGUAGUUGUAUUGGGGGUAUCUAGGUAGUUGUAUUGGAGGGUAUCUAGGUAGUUGUAUUGGGGGGUAUCUAGGUAGUUGUAUUGAGGGUAUCUAGGUAGUUGUAUUGGAGGGUAUCUAGGUAGUUGUAUUGGAGGGUAUCUAGGUAGUUGUAUUGGAGGGUAUCUAGGUAGUUGUAUUGGAGGGUAUCUAGGUAGUUGUAUUGGAGGGUAUCUAGGUAGUUGUAUUGGGGGGUAUCUAGGUAGUUGUAUUGGGGGUAUCUAGGUAGUUGUAUUGGAGGGUAUCUAGGUAGUUGUAUUGAGGGUAUCUAGGUAGUUGUAUUGGAGGGUAUCUAGGUAGUUGUAUUGGAGGGUAUCUAGGUAGUUGUAUUGGAGGGUAUCUAGGUAGUUGUAUUGGAGGGUAUCUAGGUAGUUGUAUUGGAGGGUAUCUAGGUAGUUGUAUUGGGGGUAUCUAGGUAGUUGUAUUGGAGGGUAUCUAGGUAGUUGUAUUGAGGGUAUCUAGGUAGUUGUAUUGGAGGGUAUCUAGGUAGUUGUAUUGGAGGGUAUCUAGGUAGUUGUAUUGGAGGGUAUCUAGGUAGUUGUAUUGAGGGUAUCUAGGUAGUUGUAUUGGAGGGUAUCUAGGUAGUUGUAUUGGAGGGUAUCUAGGUAGUUGUAUUGGAGGGUAUCUAGGUAGUUGUAUUGGAGGGUAUCUAGCUAGUUGUAUUGGGGG